UACAGAGGUCCCAAGCGUUACUGAGAAUCACUGGGUUUAAAGGGCGCGUAGGCGGUUCAUACAGUCAGAUGUGAAAUUCCUGGGCUCAACCUGGGGGCUGCAUUUGAUACGUGUGGACUAGAGUGGGGAAGAGGGUCGUGGAAUUCCCAGUGUAGAGGUGAAAUUCGUAGAUAUUGGGAAGAACACCGGUGGCGAAGGCGGCGACCUGGUCCUUGACUGACGCUGAGGCGCGAAAGCGUGGGGAGCAAACAGG
rnacentral:rRNA from 1 species